UAUCCAGAAAUAUAUCAAAGAUGGGUUUUAUGUUGUGUGCGAGAAAACCUGCUUCAGUGUGAACACUUGAGGGUUUAUAAUAAUUUUCGAGUUUGUGAUAAGCCUUUUCGACGAGAGGAUGUUGGACGUAACAACAAAUUGUUGAAAGGAGUAGUACCAUCAUCAAAUUUGCCAGAUAUCAGUACUUAGAAGUCAGUACUUCAAGUGCUUCGAAUAACACGCCCACUAUUCCACAUGCAGAUAUGGGACUUUAGGUUGCUUCAACAUCCACCAGUGCAAUCUCAUUGGAGACUUCAGGGUAACCCCGCUUAAUGGGGAAACAGCGUUAAUCGGGAUCAUUAUUGGAUAUUUUUUGACAGCUAAACAAAGGGAGAGUUUAUUGGAGGAAGUUGGUGUCCACAAACAAGACGACUUAUCACCAAAAGCUCAACAUUUAUACAGGAAAGCAGUGAUGUAUAAGAGGAAAUUCCAGCGCCAGAGUAUAAUAUCCUAAAGAAAUAAAAGAAAAUUAUUACCAAAGAGACAACUUUUUAAGCAGUCAAUUUCAAGUUUAGACACAAUAUUGGCAUUACAUUUAAUGCUACAAAAUGGAAAGGGGUAUAAGGUAUUAUAAAGUGUAAAGUUACACUGUGAGGAAUAAACAGAUUAACACCGUAUUUUUAACAUCUUUUAACAAAGUUAUUUUGACUCUCAAACGUGUUGCAACCUAUUAGAAUUUAGGUAAAUUUAUCACUUUUUCGCGGUAAUAUUUCACCUUAUACCGAAGAGUUAAAUUACUUCGUAAAAUU